GAACCGAGGAAAAGAAUUGACACUACACGUUCUCCGGAAAUUGCUAGAACAACGCCCACGAAAGUUACAGAAACGGAGGUUCAUACACCAAAGGGCAAGAUGAAUAAUGACCUAAAGGACCCAGUGAACUCUAAUGAUCAUAAAGUACCCAUCAUAYACAUUGCAGUUCCGGUUGCAGUGGUGGUUCUCUUGGUAUUGAUAAUUGCUUUUCUGUACAAAGUAAGUACUAAUUGACACUAGUAGACACUGGAAACAUGUCCUGGUAUAAUACAGUAAUAUAUAUUGCUUCUUUUCUUCCCGAUCAACUUUAUACAGGCUAACGUAUAUAUGCUCUGUAACUGUCAUUUAUUUUUCCACGUGACGUCAUCUAAAAAACAAUAUCGGAACUAUUCAUCGUAUCAAGAAGUUUAUAGAAUAUGUUUUAGAAAUCAAUGCAUGAUAUUAGGGACAUGAGAAUUUUCAUUCAGAUAUCUGGUUCGCGAGUUAUGAAGAUAGAUCGAAUUUGAGUCAUGCAAUACCGUUAAGUGCAUCUGAAUAAAAUGAAGAUUUAAAUAAUUUACGCUAAUGAACGUUUUUCCUUAGACACAUUUGCCUUAGACACAUUAACAUCAAAAGUGU